CCCACGUAGGUGCUUCUUGGGGAUCCUGGCUGCCCCGUGCAGGAGUGCGCCCCUGUCCCCGCGUCUAGACCGGCCGGCGCCUUCCCAGCUCACCGCCUGUUGGGGGCCGGUGGGCCGGGCCGGGGGCGGCGCGGGUUCUUUUUUUCCACAGCGGGAGCUGCUUCGGUGCUCGCGUUCCUUAGAAGGCUCCUCCGCGGGGAUCCCCGGGCCACGUGGGAUGUGUCAGGCCGUUCUGAUGGCUGUUGGCAGGUCCCCAGAAGGCAGUGGAAUCGGUGGUGGGAACCCGGCCUGCAGCGCCCGGGCCCUCCGUGGGAUGGGGAACGUCCUAUCCCACCGCGGCUGGCCUUUGCGGUGAUUCCGAGGUGUUCUUGCCGUCCUGUUCCUGCUUCAUGCAAAGCCGCCACACCCUGUUUGGAAAGGUUGACCAUAGACCGUUCUGGGCACCCCCUAGGGGGUGUUCUCUGUACCCAGGUCACCUGUGAGCCUCCGGAAUGUGCGUUCUGCCGUAGGCGUGGUGGGGAGAUCAGCGCGGACCUUUAUGAAGUUCUCCAAGCUCACGUCCGAACCCCCGGUGUGAGGGUGUCAGGCUCCCGCGCCCUCCCCGCUCCUGCCCCGCGAGGACACGGCCUCCUGAACCGGGAAGCGGGUCCUCCCCCGACGGGGAAUCUGCCGGGACCUUGGUCUUGGGCUGGGAGACAUCAGUGGGGCUGGUGAGCCCCCAGUCUGGGAUUUUCGGUUAGAGCAGCCUGAACAGAUUAAGGUAAUGUUGUAUUUGCGUGAUUUUAAAACUUCGUUACUAGACCCGUUCCAGUGUACUUACCCCCUCCAGGUUUGGGCUUCCCAAAGGCAGCCACUUUUUCUUUUUCUUUUUCUUUUUUAAGAUUCAUUUUAGUUGAAAGAGACAGUGCGCGCUAGUGGAGCAGGGAGAGGGAGAGAGAAUCUCAAGCAGUCUCCACACUGAGCACCAAGCCCAAAGUGGGGCUCGGUCCCGGACUUUAGGUCAUGACCUGAGCUGAGAGCAGGAGUCAGGUGCCUAAGCAGCUGCGCUACCCAGGUACCCCAAAGGCGGCCACUGUUCAAAUCUGUUGUUUUUCUCCAUAUUUCUUUUUCUUUUUAAGAUUUUAUUUAUUUGUAAGAGAAACUGCAGGACCAGGGGAAGCUGCAGGCAGAGGGAGAAGCAGGCUCCCCGCGGAACAGGAGCCCAACGCGGGGCUCGGUCCCAGGACCCCAGCAAUAUGCCCCGAGCUGAAGGCAGACACUUUUCAACGGAGCCGCCCAGGUGGCCCUUCCUCCGUAUUUCUAAAUAACCUGCUCAUAUUCUUUCUAAUUUCUCUGAUCCCUUUUUCCAGUUUAGAAUAGCGUUUGUUGGUUCCCACUGAGUAGAAAGAUGGGGUUCUGUUCUACCCCAACAAUGUCCCUUCCUCCCCAUCGUCCCCGGGUAGUGAAAUGGCUAUUUUUGUUUUUGUUACGGAGAUGACGUAGACCGUACUCUGUUCAGGCAAGUGGGCCUGCACGCCCACGCACGUGUUAGCGGGCAAAGGCUCCCUUAUUUACCGGAGAACCUUGAACGGACAAGCCCUAUAGAAGGCGGCGGGGCCCUUGGGGCGCCUGGGUGGCUCAGUGGGUUAAAACCUCUGCCUUCGGCUCAGGUCAUGAUCCCAGAGUCUUGGGAUCGAGCCCCACAUCGGGUUCUCUGCUCAGUGGGGAGCCUGCUUCCUCCUCUCUCUCUGUCUGCCUCUCUGCCUACUUGUGAUUUCUCUGUCAAAUAAAUAAGUAAAAAUCUUUAAAAAAAAAAAAAAAAGGCAGCGGUGGGGCCCAGAUCCCACCCCAACACCUUCAGCCCAGCACCCACAUGUGUAAAGUCAACCCCUCAUAGGGCCUCUUGGGUAAAUGUAUGUUUUUCCCACUCUCAGCUUUUGGUUAUAUGGGCUGUGGGGCUGAUGCCUGUUGAGCCCACAGAGGCCUCAUUAUUCUGAUUUUCUGUCUGUUCCAUUCACGUGUUUCAAAGGUAUGUGGAAAACAGGGGGUAAAGCUUGGCAUCUCAAGGCCCAGAAGGAAGAGCAGAGUACUUCUGUAAGCCUAAAGCAUCUCCCACAGUCCUCCUCAGAGUCUUUUAUUUUGAAGCAUUUUUUUAAAAUUGCGCUGAAAUACACAAAGCCCAGGGGCACGUGGGUGCAGUCAGUGGAGCGUCUGGCUCUCGGGCUCAGCUCGGUGGUGGUCUCAGGGUCACGGGACUGAGCCCGUGUGGGGCGCUGAGCCCCGCGCACAGCCUGCCUGAGGUCCGCUCUCCCAGCCCCUCCUGCUGUGUGCUCUCUCUCUCGUGCCCCCACUCUCUAAAGUAAACAAAUAGAUCUUAAAAAUACAUAUAUACAUAGCCUCAAAUUUACUGUCUUAGUGGUUUCUGGAUCAGCUCGGGGGUGUGACGCGCACUCACCGUAAUGCAGACGCCGCGGCUCGUGCACAGAACACGCCCAUGCGUCUUCUGCAGCUCGAGCUCUGUCCCCAUUAAACCGACUGCCUGUCCUGUACCAAGCCCCUGGCACCCCCAUCUUCCGUACGGACCCGACUCUCCCAGGGACCGCCUGUGAGUGGGAUGGUACAGAGUUUGUCCUGUGGUGUCCGGCUUUUCUCUCAGUGUAAUACCCUCCCCCCAACCCCAUACGGUGUAGCAGGUGUCACGACCUUUCCUAAGGCCGAGUGUGACCGUCCCCUGCAGGGCCAGGCUGCAUCGUGCUUUUCCGGUCGUCCUCUGAGGGAAGCUUAGCUUGCUCCCACCUUCCGGCCAUCGUGAGCGACGCCGCUGUGAACACAGCUGUCCCAGUGUCCGUUCAGGUCCCUGCUCUUAGUGCUUUGGGGCAGAUACUCAGAGAUGGACUUGCUGGGUCUUCCAGGAGUUCUCUCGGUUCUUUGAGGAGCUGCUGUGGUGUUCUCCUGUGACAGCCGUGUCAUAGGUGCCCACCAGCGGUGCGCAAAGAGCCCAGUUGCUCCACACCCCUUCUUUCCUUUUUUUUUUUUUUUUUUAAUAUUUUUUAUUUAGCGGGGAGAGGCAAACUCUCCACCGAGCCCAGAGUCCGACCCAGGGCUCGAUCCCACCAGCCAAGCUGAAACCCAGAGUCGACACCCAACCGACUACACCCCCAGGCGCCCCAGUGCUCAUUUUCUUUUUCCUCUUUGUUUUUAAUAACCGCGGCCUUCACGGGUGUGAAGUUGCUUCUCGUCGUGGUUCCGGUCGUGGUUCCGGUCUGCGUCCUGAGACGUCCCUUUAUUUCAGGUCGUCUCCCAGUGUGGACGAGAGCACGUCUCGGCGCUGUUUCUCCAGUGUUCUCGCGCACACGCGUCCUCUCGGGAGCUUGUGGGAAUCCUGGUUCGGGAGACCCGGCGUGCGGCCUCUGCGUCUCUAGCAAGCACCAGGGCGUGCCAGGGACGAAAGCUGCUGGUCCGAAGGCCAGGCCAUGGGUCGCAAGGACAGCGGAGAAGUGCGUUGGCUCCGGAGUCGAGCAGACCUGACUCGGGGAGGAUUCAGAGUCGUGGAUCCAGGGCCUCCUUGGCUAGAGCCGAGCACUUUCCGACUCCUGGCACCUGCCGACAUCGUAGGAAGGAAGCCGCUGCGUGACUUUCUCGUCGUCACAGAACGCAGGCUGUAAAGCCUGUGACUCUUCUAAGCUCUGCCGAAGUUCACACGAGCCUCUCUGUUCGUUCGUGAAGCCUUUCUAGGGACCCUCCAGCAGCGCACGGUGCCAGGUGAGGCCGGGGGAGUCCUGUCCUCGGGAGGGUCACAGCCUCCCUGAAGAGGUGAGACCAGUGCUGGAGCGAGCAGGACAGAGCAGAGACGGUGGUGUGCUGCCAGAGGUGCUGGGAAUACUCAGGCCCCACAGACCGUGAGAAAGGUCUGGCUUUCAGGCUGGGGAAUGAUGCGGUUGUAACUGUAUCUUGAGCAAAGCUCGUUGGUCGCAGGGGUGAGCUGGAGCAGGGAGACCCCUGCUCACCGGGGUCAGAGCCCUCCACUGUCUGCUGCAGCCUAGACGGCGACAUCUGUCAUCUACAGCUGUGGUGGUCCGCACACCUGCUGUUCACAGACUCUGGUAGUCUGUUGUCUGUCGACCGUGGUGGUCCGUGUCAUCUCUAGACCAUGACGGUCUAUGUCAUCUGUGUCCUCUCUAGACUGGGACUUCCCGUGUCGUCUGUCAUUGCUGGACUGUAGCAGUCUGCAUCAUCUGUCGUUUCUGUUCCAAGAUGGUCCAUGUCGUCUGUCAUCUGUAGGCCGUGACAGUCCAUGUGAUCUGUCAUCUCUAGACUGUGAUGGUCAGUGUCAUCUGUUUUCUCCAGAUCGUGACGGUCCAUGUCAUCUGUUGUCUGUAGACCAGGACGGCCUGUUUCUUCUGUCAUCUCUAGUCUGUGACAGUCCUUGUCACCUGUAGUCCAGGACAGUCCAUGCCAUUUGUUGUCUUCAGUCCUGAUGGUCCAUGUUGUCCGUAGACAGGGUGGUCUGUGUUGUCUGUUGUCUGUAGUCCGUGACGGUCCAUGUCCUCUGUCAUCUGUAAACCAGGAUGGUUCUUGUCAUCUGUCAUCUCCAGUCUGUGACAGUCCAUGUCAUCUGUAGACCAGGACAGUCCCUGUCACCUGUUGUCGGCAGUCCACAAUGGCGUAUGUCGUCUGCUGUCUCUAGUCUGUGAUGGUCCAUGUUCUCUGUUGUCUGUAGACCAGGACGGUCUGGGUCAUUUGUCAUCUGGACUAUGAUAGUCUGUAUUCUCUGUCUGUAGACGUGGUCUGUGACAUCUGUCGUCUCUUAAAAUGCAGACCACGGUGGUCUACAAUGAAAGUUCAGCAUUGGAGGGUCAGCAAAGGGAAUCUCAGACCUUGAGAAGUCUGGGAAGAAAAGGUGUCGUGUGCUGAGGCCGUGGGGUUGGGACUGAGGUGUGCGAACGAUCAUGGCAGAUCCCACUGCUAAGAGUUCAAGAACGUGCCAGCAGCCUCUUGUGUGACAGAAGGCAGCUGCCUGGCUGCCUGGAGAAGGGCUGAGGGAGGGGGAGGAGGCGGGAGGAGACCGGUGGGUGCGUCUGUGCCACGGAGCAGACCGGGGCUUCACAGGUGUGCGCGGGUGUCCUGACCCAGCAGCCCGCACACCUCAUGUCUGUGCAUAUGGCGUAGGCCAGUCGCUGCUCACUGUGGCUGCCUAGCGACGCCCCGAUUUCAUGUGUGUGAGCUGCCGGGUGGGUGGUUAUGAGUGAGGGGUCUGGUGACUGGCUCGGACCGACGGAAGACAGCUGCUGUGCUGGUCGUGUCAGGGUCACACCGUCUUCGCUGCCUCGGAACUAUCUGCCCUUCGACUGCUGAACCCAGCUGAGCUCUUUGAACCAGGCGUAAACCCAGAGUCCGAUGCGGCGAAGGCAGCACGGUCUGCGGCUCCACGGGCGACAGAGCCCCGGUGAUAGUGGGGGCUGGGGGCGCAUGUCAGGAAGGAAGCGGGGCUCUGGGCUCCGUCUGGGGUCACCGGUCAUCCAUACGCUCUUCACUGUCCUCAGACACGGGACUGGCCGUGUCACUGAGGGCUCUGUAAGCCGAGAGUGUGGGUCCCUGUCCGAAAAGCAGAAGAGUUUGACAUGAGCCCAGCAGGGCAGCCCCCUCCGCACCGCAUCCAGCCAGGGUCGCCCCCCCCCAGGAAGGCUCGGGACGAACGGUGACUGUGUGCGCCGCGGCCUGAGCCUCUCCCUGUGUGUCUGCACGGUCCCGGCUCAGCGCUUUUGAGACUGUUGGCAUUUCCUCUAGCCUGGGGGCUCCGCUCGUAGCGCUCACGUCCACCGUGAUGCAGGCAGAGGCGUCAGGUUUGCGGCUCUGCUUUCCCUCUGGCCGCCGGGGCUCCCGCUUCCUCCCGAGCCCUGUUCCUCGGGGCUGUGCCGGGCAGCGAGCAGGUGCUCCCUGCUCUUCUCCGUCAGCAGAGCACAAGGCAGGACCUCGUGUACAGGUUGUUACUUUAAGAUUCUACUUAAGAGAGAGAGAGAUGGAGAGAGUAAGUGGCAGGAGCGACAGGCAGAGGGGAAGCAGGCUUCCCGCUGAGCAGGGAGCCUGACGCGGGGCUCCAUCCCAGGACCUCGGGAUAGGACCUGGGAGCCGAAGGCAGCUUCACCCACUGAGCCACCGGGUGCCCGUGCGUACGGGUUUUAGUCCGCGUUUUAUUUAUGCUUCGGGCUUAGUCUGGGGGAUGCGGGAGAGGCAUCAUGAGGCGCGUGUGCAGGCCUGCUGGGAAAGGCGCCAAGAACAAGGAGCAGGGACGCGCGGGUCCCUGAGCCAGACCGAGGGAAGGCUUCUCGGUUCCCGCGUGGGAGAGAGCACGGCGCUGCCUGACCUGAGGCCCUCGGGUCCCUGCAGGGCUGCUUUCCAGCAGGGGUGGGGCCUGAGGAUUCUGGGGUCUGGGGGAGGCUGCCUGGUUCCAGUCCUGGUCCCGUGGGUUGUGGCCGGGAGCCUCCGAGCAGUUCAGUCCACCUCUUGUGCCACCCAGCCCUGAGCGGGGGUGGGGACAGCGCCCACCUCAGAGCCCCAGAGUCUGCUCCAGGGAGGGCUGCUUGUGGCGCACGGGUGCCUGGGAGGGCAUGUUGUCCUUUCUCUGUUGACAGAAGAUCCCUGGUUUCAAAAGGGAGCUCUCAGGCUGAGCUGCCCUCUGCAAGUGUAUGUGUUGACAUCUCGAAGCCCAGGACCUCAAGAUGUGACUGCGUUUGGAGAGAGCAUCUUUAAAGAGCUGAUCAAGUUACAGUGAGGUGUUAAGAGAACCCCACUUUCCACGCCCGAGCCCCAGACCCGGCAGCGAGGUCCAGGCCCCAGGGCGGCUCCCCUUCCUGCACGUGCCCGGCCACCCUCCAGCAUCUCUGCACACCUGGGCCUGCCACUUCUAGAACUUCCGCCUCCUGCUCUCCCCUGUUUCUGGUCUCUGAUUUGCAAGGGAAGAGCUCAGAGUGUCUUGCUGAGCAGCAGCAUGGCUCAGUAGCUGAGAUCACAGACUCGGAGGCCAGCGCGCGCAGGUGUAAGUGGCCGUCACCAGCACGCUGACACGCAUGACCUCUCUGGUGGAGAAGGGCCGCCAGUGUCACGUCCACGGCGGCCCACGGUGAGUACUGGCUGUUGUUGGCCGCAGAAGCGCACCGGUCAGCGCUGCCUCCUUCCGGAAGAAACAGUGUUGGGUGUUUAACUCAGUGAGUGAGUGACACAGCUGCUUCCCCGAAGUGAGCUCGUGUGUGUCCUCGCUCCGUGCGUGCACCCGGCCAGAAGCCUGUCAGGUGGAGCCGGCCGGCAGGCAUCGCCGUGCCACAUGCGCCCGGGCGUCCCCCUGCCCACGCCGCUGACAGUAGGGACGGUCUCCACCGUCGCCUUCACCGCCUGCCCUCUUGCCGGCGCCCACAGGACGAGUCUGCGGCCCGGCUGGCCUGCAGGAGCGAGGCAGGCUGCUCGCCUGCCCCCGGGGCCUGAUGGUGGUCCUCAUGCUGGUGCCGUGGCCAGCGGCUUCCUUUCUAAGGAUGAGAAAGGCCACGGCUAGGAGAUUGGUCCCGCAGAUGGACUGAAGAAAACAAAUAAAGGCUGGUUUAGGCUGAGCCUUGCCUUGUCCCCCGUCUGUUCCUUUAUUCCCCCCUUCUAAGAGAUCUUGUUUGAGAGAGAGCAUAAAUGGGGAGCGGCAGAGGCAGAAGCAGACUCCCCGCUGACCGGGGAGCCCGACGCAGACUCGUCCGCGGGCGCUGGGAUCACGACCCGAGCCAGCCAGGUGCCCUUUCAUUCCCUCGGGUUAGCACCUGUCCCCAUCAGGUACAGGCCCGGCACACGGAGGGUCUCGGGUGAAGGUGGCCCCCCACAGGAGGGCGCUGCACUGG